AAAGUGUUGAACAACGCCGUGCGACCGAC
rnacentral:sRNA from 1 species